UACAGGGGGUGGCAAACGUUGCUCGGAAUCAUUGGGCGUAAAGCGCACGUAGGCGGUUCGUUAUGUCGGAUGUGAAAGCCCUUGGCUUAACCGAGGAAGUGCAUCCGAAACUGGCGAGCUAGAGUACGAAAGAGGAUCGCGGAAUUCCCGGUGUAGAGGUGAAAUUCGUAGAUAUCGGGAGGAACACCGGUGGCGAAGGCGGCGAUCUGGGUCGAUACUGACGCUGAGGUGCGAAAGCGUGGGGAGCAAACAGG
rnacentral:rRNA from 1 species